GACGAACGCUGGCGGCGUGCUUGACACAUGCAAGUCGAACGAUGAACCCGGAGCUUGCUCCGGCGGAUUAGUGGCGAACGGGUGAGUAACACGUGAGUAACCUGCCCUUGACUCUGGGAUAACUGCUAGAAAUGGUAGCUAAUACCGGAUACGACCCUCGGUGGCAUCACCAGGGGGUGGAAAGAAUUUCGGUCAAGGAUGGACUCGCGGCCUAUCAGCUAGUUGGUGAGGUAACGGCUCACCAAGGCGACGACGGGUAGCCGGCCUGAGAGGGUGACCGGCCACACUGGGACUGAGACACGGCCCAGACUCCUACGGGAGGCAGCAGUGGGGAAUAUUGCACAAUGGGCGCAAGCCUGAUGCAGCAACGCCGCGUGAGGGAUGACGGCCUUCGGGUUGUAAAGUCCUUUUGCUCGGGAACAAUUUUUGAGCGUACCGAGAGAAUAAGAGGUUGCUAACUCUGUGCCAGCAGCCGCCGUAA
rnacentral:rRNA from 1 species